rnacentral:rRNA from 1 species
UACGUAGGUGGCAAGUGUUAUCCGGAAUUAUUGGGCGUAAAGCGCGCGCAGGCGGUUUCUUAAGUCUGAUGUGAAAGCCCACGGCUCAACCGUGGAGGGUCAUUGGAAACUGGGGAACUUGAGUGCAGAAGAGAAAAGCGGAAUUCCACGUGUAGCGGUGAAAUGCGUAGAGAUGUGGAGGAACACCAGUGGCGAAGGCGGCUUUUUGGUCUGUAACUGACGCUGAGGCGCGAAAGCGUGGGGAGCAAACAGG